AGUCACGUUGUUGUUAUGAUAGAAUAUACAAAUUGUUCGUUGCUUCUAUUGGACUGCAUUUGUGUCUGUGCACGUGCUCUUUGCACAUACAUAUUGGCAAGACAGGGCACCUCCUGUCUACAGUCAUAGCAGCAAUAAAGUGACUUCUUGCCAAGUAUUCGCUACAAGUUCUUACUGGUGAAGCGCACAAAAGAUGGCUCCAUGAGCUGGGCAAACGCCUGGAGAUGCCCUACGUCAACAACACGGUCGGCGGCCCGUCGGUGCACAGCUCGUACAUCGCCGCCCUCUACUUCACCCUCAGCAGCCUGACCAGCGU